CGCAGACGUGGGCACCAGCCCCCACGUCCGCUUGCCCGCCCUGCGGUCUGGUCUUGGCACCCAAGCAGAACCAGCUCCCUGAACUGCUCUAAGCAGCAGACCAGCUGCGAGUGGGCUUCUACAAGCCGGAGAAGGCAAAGGCCUGUCCUGGGUAUCCUUAGGUCCCUGUUGUUCCCAGCGCACCUUGACACCUGAAAAGGAGGGUCGACCAGCUCAGGAUCCCUGCGGGACAGGAAAAGGAGGGAAACCUUGACAUGGAAGAACUCCACGGUGAAAACGAAGGCAAGCUGGAAAAGGAGGGAAAGCCAGAAGAUGAAGUAGAGCCUGAAGAUGAAGAAAAGUCAGAUGAGGAAGAGAAGCCGGACAAGAAAGCAAAGCCAGCGCGCCAGGGCAAGCUAGAGGAGGCGGCAAAGCCAGAUGAGCAGGGGCAAGAUGAGGGGAAGCCUGAGAAGCAGGGAAAGUCUGACGGGGAGGGCAAGCACCAAGGGGAGAGCAAGCCCGAUUCCCAGGCAAAGUCAGCCAGCGAGGCGCGAGCUGCAGAAAAGCGCCCCGCUGAAGAUUAUGUGCCCCGGAAAGCAAAGCGAAAAACAGAUAGGGGGACAGAUGAUUCUCCCAAGAACUCCCAGGAGGACUUACAGGACAGGCAUGUGAGCAGUGAGGAGGCGAUGAGAGAGUGUGCAGAUAUGACAAGGGCUCAGGAAGAGCUGAGGAAGAGGCAGAAAAUGGGUGGUUUUCACUGGGUACCAAGAGAUGCACAGGAGGCUUUAGUCCCCAGGGGCCAACGGGGAGUCAGGGGGAUGAGGGGCGGCGGAGGCAGGAGCCAGAGGGGCCUCCAUGACAUCCCAUACCUUUAAUGCCUUUGGCCUUCAAUUCUGACCUCUCUGAGGAGAAAGAACACUGCUGGCCCUGCUUUCCCUGGUAACUACUUGCCGGGCCUGUGCUUUAUUUAACCUUCAGCCGAAACUCUGCUUUAGGUAUCACUGUCCUUACCAGCAGCCUUCUGACCCAACUACAGUGCUCUCUCUUUUAGUACAGGAUUUUCACCCAUGUGCAUGUACAUUGUAAAAUAACAAUAAAAAGUUUGCAGAACUACA
rnacentral:lncRNA from 1 species